UUUAACACAAGCUCCUAUGACGUGUGUAUCCAUGGAUUACACAUUCCUGUUUCCUAGAGAGAAAUAUCUAAACAUUGACUCGGAUUAUCAGGGAAAAUGUCGAUUUCUGGGAGAAUAGAAGACAAAAGGUGGCAAUUCUGUUUCUGGGUAAUUUGCAGGAAUUGGUGUCCGCAAACAGGAAAAUGUGAAAACAUAUCAUUUAUAGAUACAUUUGGGAUAGGAUUAGGUUGAAAUUUCAGAUGUAAACGCAGGAAGUUGCUGCUCCAGGUUCCAACACAGUUUAUAUUUAUAUUCCCUGGGGAUUAUUAUAUACGGUGCUCAGGGUCAGUUAUUGUAUUGGGUGAAUAAAGAGACAGAGCACAGUGAUUAUCUUGCUCACUGGGGGAGCGGAACCUUCCUGGAAGUGACUUCAGCCAAUCAACUACAUUUGAAGCAUCAUGGUCAGUGGAAUGUUGGUAACGCAGCAGCCAAUAAUAGAAAAACAGCAAUAAGAUCAUGAGAUAAUUAACCAUUUUCAAACUCACUGAAUCAAAUGGAAUAUUGACUUUGCACCCAAAUAGUCCAUUGAAGCCUGUGGGACAGGUGUAUAUUUGCUGUUCCCCUGAAUAAUGCAAGAUUCCAGCCUGAUAGAUGGACUGUCUGCGUUGACCUCCAUUUUGCAGUUGUCCAAUAUUUUGUCAAGAUGCCCAGACCAAACCUUCAGUUUAUGUUUCCAGUACUUCCUGUGACACAAGCUCCAAUCAAGAUCAGAUCAGCCUCCACUGUCUAGUCAAGGAUUUCCAGCCCAGGAGCAUCCAACAGACAUGGUCCAGUGACAAUAGAGAGAUCACAACUGGAUUCAAUAAGUAUCCCACAGUCUUGGGGCAAAAUAUGAAGUACACGAUGAGCAGUGUGCUCAGUGUCUCUGCGUCGGAUUGGAAUGCGGGCAAGGUCUACCACUGCAAGGCGGGCUACAAGGCAAAUGAAAUGGUGGAAGCUGAGACCACAAAGCGUCAGCCUCAAUCUCCCCAUGUCUUCUCUGUUGUUCCAUCUUGGGAGAUGGUCUACAAUCAAACCACUGCUGCCCUGGGGUGCAUACUAUCUGGAUCCUAUCCUGACAUUGUCCAGGUUUCCUGGUUUAAAGCCGGAGUGCUCCAAUCGGGUGCCAAACUCCUCUCCAAAAAGGCAAAAGAUGGUACAUUUGAAACAGUCUCUUACCUGACUGUACAGGUGGCGGAUUGGAAGAACGGGGAUGAAUUCACUUGUGCAGUGUCCCAUGAGCCGACAAGCUUCAACACCAGGAUCAACAUGAAGUAUCGGGAGGAAAUGACUGUCUUUCUCCAAAAUCCUUUGGUGAAAGAGCUUUGGAUCAAUAAAACCGCCACCCUGGUGUGUACAGCAGUGUGUUCUGAUCCCAGCCAGGUACAGAUCACCUGGAAGGUAAAUCGGAGGCAGAGAAGCAAAGGGGUUACAGCUCAGAGAGACGAAGGCACCCAAUACGUCAUCAUCAGCCAACUCCAAACCACAGCACAGGAGUGGGAGAGUGGGGUGGAGUUUGUGUGUUCUGCUCAAAGUGGUCCCUCCUCCUCAUCAGUGUCAAAGCGGACAAGGAGCCUAAGAGUUCCACAAAAAAGUCCCGAGGUCAGACUGCUGCCUCCACCAGCCCAAGAGACCAAGAAUCAGAGCAACGUUACACUCGAGUGUGUGAUCACUGGAUUCUACCCAGACCUCAUACAGGUCUCCUGGGAGAAGGACAGCAGCCUGAUCUCCUCCAACACCCAUGCUGGCCUCACUGCUCUGGAGCAGACAGGGACAUUCAGUGUCAAGCACUACCUGACCGUGAGCACAGAGGAGUGGAGGAAAGGUUCAGUCUUCACCUGUGCAGUGUCUCAUCCACCGUCCAACUUUACCAGCAGGAAGGAGGUGAAGAAGGUCCAAGAUGAAUGUUUGGACACUGGAAUCUCAGUCACCUUAAGCAAGCCUCCAUUCGAAGAGAUCUGGAGGAAGAGAACAGCAACCAUUCUGUGUGAGGUACUUCAUGGUGAUUUAGAGGGAGUCAGGGUAACCUGGAAAGUGGAUGGAAUCAUGAGACAAGAUGGAGUGAAGACCCAGGGUCCCAAGAAGCAUGGAUAUAAAGAGAUCAUGUUCAGUAGACUGAAUGUCCCUGCUGCAGAAUGGGAGAGUGGAGUAGAGUACAUGUGUUUGGUGGAGGCCAAAAAUUUGCCAACGCCAGAGAAGAGGUUUAUCAGGAAAGCCCAAGUUGAGGUUAAGACUCACCCUCAAGUCUACCUCCUGGCCCCUUCACCGGUUGAGAUGGAGACUGCUCACACUGCGACCCUCGUUUGCCUGGUCACUGGAUUCUCUCCCGCAGAUAUCUACCUGGCUUGGAUGGCCAAUGAUACCCUUCUGAAGACAGGGUUCAUUCAUCAGCCAGUGACUGAGGAUGGCAGAGGAGGCUGGAACUCAGGCAGUCACUUGACCGUCUCUGCAGAGGAGUGGGACAGCGGCACCAUGUACUCCUGUGUGGUGGGACACGAGUCAGUCACAACAAAUGUGUUCAGAAGCAUGAAUAAAUCUCACAGCAAGCCCAACCUGGUUAAUGUCUCACUUGUUCUAACUGAAAGCUUUAACUCCUGUUCAUAACAUCUGGUUUAAACAAUCACCCAUUUAUAUAAGCCCUAUAAAUGUACAGUUAAAACAACUGAAAAACAGUUGUGAGCAUUUUGAAACCUCUCUUCUGGUAGCAAUUCACUUCAAACAUGAAUAAAAUCGAACGUUGCUCAGUACUUGAGAGAAAAAAAAUAAAUCUCCAAAUCAGCUAACAUUAUUUUGUCCAGAUGCCUGGGAUCCUCAGGUCCUUUGGAAACAUUUUUUUUGUGCUGCACCUGAUCAUGUGUGAAACAUGUGUGAAAACCCACAGAAUGUUAAUUGUUUGUCAAUGUACUGAUCAAAUUUCAAUAAACC